GACGAACGCUGGCGGCGUGCCUAAUACAUGCAAGUAGAACGCUGAAGGAGGAGCUUGCUUCUCUGGAUGAGUUGCGAACGGGUGAGUAACGCGUAGGUAACCUGCCUGGUAGCGGGGGAUAACUAUUGGAAACGAUAGCUAAUACCGCAUAAUAGUAGAUGUUGCAUGACAUUUGCUUAAAAGGUGCAAUUGCAUCACUACCAGAUGGACCUGCGUUGUAUUAGCUAGUUGGUGGGGUAACGGCUCACCAAGGCGACGAUACAUAGCCGACCUGAGACGGUGAUCGGCCACCCUGAGAAUGAGACACGGCAAAGACUACUACGGGAGGCGGCAGUAGGGAAUCAUCGGCAAUGGACGAAAGUCUGACCCAGCAAGGCCGCGUGAGUGAAGAAGGUUUUCGGAUCGUAAAGCUCUGUUGUGAGAGAAGAACGGGUGUGAGAGUGGAAAGUUCACACUGUGACGGUACCCUACCAGAAAGGGACGGCUAACUACGUG
rnacentral:rRNA from 1 species